rnacentral:rRNA from 1 species
UAUGGAGGAUGCAAGCGUUAUCCGGAUUCACUGGGUUUAAAGGGUGCGUAGGCGGGCAGGUAAGUCAGUGGUGAAAUCUCCGGGCUUAACCCGGAAGCUGCCGUUGAUACUAUCUGUCUUGAAUAUCGUGGAGGUAAGCGGAAUAUGUCAUGUAGCGGUGAAAUGCUUAGAUAUGACAUAGAACACCCAUUGCGAAGGCAGCUUACUACACGAUCAUUGACGCUGAGGCACGAAAGCGUGGGGAGCAAACAGG